AGAGAAAGAGGGGGGAUGGCGGAAGCCAGAGCUCGCGGAGGAGCAGCGGCGGGGGUCGAGGCCAGAGCUCGCGAUCCACCGCUAGCGCACUGUGCACAUCCGUGCCACCCUCGCUCAGCCCUUGGCCCACAGGAUGGACGGCGGAUCCGGGGGCCUGGGGUCUGGGGACAACGCCCCGACCACUGAGGCUCUUUUCGUGGCACUGGGCGUGGGCGUGACGGUGCUUAGCCAUCCGCUGCUCUACAUGAAGCUGCUCAUCCAGGUGUGUCAUGAGCCGAUGCCCCCUACCCUUGGGACCAAUGUGCUGGGGAGGAAGGUCCUCUAUCUGCCAAGCUUCUUCACCUACGCCAAGUACAUUGUGCAAGUGGAUGGUAAGAUAGGGCUGUUCCAAGGCCUGAGCCCCUGGCUGAUGUCCAACUCUCUCUCCACUGUGACCCGGGGUAGCAUGAAGGUUUUCCCUACAGAUGAGAUCGAGCAGAUUUCCAGCAAGGAUGACAUGAAGACUUCCCUGAAGAAAGUUGUGAAGGAGACCUCCUAUGAGAUGAUGAUGCAGUGCGUGUCCCGCAUGUUGGCCCACCCACUGCAUGUCAUUUCAAUGCGCUGCAUGGUUCAGUUUGUGGAACGGGAGGCCAAGUACGGUGGUGUGCUGACCUCCAUUGGGAAGAUUUUCAAAGAGGAAGGGCUGCUGGGAUUCUUUGUUGGAUUAAUCCCUCACCUCCUGGGCGAUGUGGUUUUCUUGUGGGGCUGUAACCUGCUGGCCCACUUCAUCAAUGCCUACCUGGUAGAUGACAGCUUCAGCCAGGCCCUGGCUAUCCCGAGCUAUACCAAGUUCCUGAUGGGGAUCACAGUGAGCAUACUGACCUAUACCCCUUCCUGCUAGUUGGCGACCUCUUGGCUGUGAACAACUGCAGGCUGCAGGCUGGGCUCCCACCUUACUCCCCGGUGUUCGAAUCCUGGAUUCACUGCUGGAAGUACCUGAGUGUGCAAGGCCAGCUCUUCCAAGACUCCAGCCUGCUUUUCCACCAGGUGUCAUCAGGAUCAUGUUUUGCCCUGGAGUAACCUGAAUCAUCUAAAAAACAUGGUCUCAACCUGGCCAAGGUGGGUGAGGCCCGACCAUCUUAGGACACCUGUAAGACGACUCCAACCCAGCAACAACCAGAUAUGCUUCAGCCCAGCCGGGCUUCAGUUUCCAUAUUUGCCGUGUGUCUGUCCAGAUGUGGGGUUUGACGGGGGUGGGGCUACACACAGUGGAUUGGGUCACCUGCCAGACCUGGGGAAGCUGGGGUGAGGUGGGGAGUUAGCAGACUCCCCACACCUCCCAGAUCUGCUGAGUCCGUCUUAUUCAGAGGGCCAGAGAAUGGCUUGUGGGGGCCCAGGUUGGAUGGGGAAAGGCUAAUGGAGUCAGACCCCACCCCAUCUACCCCUCCAGUCAGCCCAGUACCCAUCCUGCAGCUCAGCUGGGAGCAUCAUUCUGCUGCUUUGUAAAUAGGUUGGAUCCCCUGGCACAUGGCCACCAUCAUGUCUAGGCCUAUGCUAGGAGGCGAAUGCCGGGCUCUGCCUGCGUUUUCUCAACACUAAUGAUAUGAGGGCAGCACCUGCCUCUGAAUGGGAAAUCAUGUGACUACUCAGAAUGUGUCCUCCUCAUCUAAUGCUCAUCUGUUGAAUGGUGAUACCUCGUGCGCAGGAUCUGGUUACCUGUGCAGUUGUGAAUGCCCAGAGGUUGGGCAGAUCAGUGUCUCUAGUCCUAUGCAAUUUUAAAGUUCAUAGUAAGAUGUGACCCCAUCUCCCACAGAUAAAUGUAUUGGUG